GACGAACGCUGGCGGCGUGCUUAACACAUGCAAGUCGAACGGUGAACCUGCUUCGGUGGGGGCUCAGUGGCGAACGGGUGCGUAACACGUGGGCAACCUGCCCUCUGCUCUGGGAUAACUCCAAGAACUUGGGGCUACUACUGGAUAUGACCGCUGCCCGCUUGGUCUGGUGGCGGAAAGAUUUAUCGGCUGGGGCUGGGCCCGCGGCCUAUCAGCUUGUUGGUGGGGUAGUGGCCUACCAAGGCCACGACGGGUAGCCGGCCUGAGAGGGUGACCGGGCACACUGGGACUGAGAGACGGCCCAGACUCGUACGGGAGGCAGCAGUGGGGAAUAUGGCGCAAUGGGCGAAAGCCUGUGACAGCGACGCCGCGUGGGGGAUGACGGCCUUCGGGUUGUAAACCGCUUUCAGCAGGGACGAAGCGAAAGUGACGGUACCUGCAGAAGAAGCACCGGCUAACUACGUG
rnacentral:rRNA from 1 species